rnacentral:tRNA from 4 species
GGAGAGGUGGCAGAGCGGUCGAAUGCGGCGGUCUUGAAAACCGUUGACGGGUUAAACCGUCCGGGGGUUCGAAUCCCUCCCUCUCCGCCA